UACAGAGGGUGCAAGCGUUGUUCGGAAUUAUUGGGCGUAAAGCGCGUGUAGGCGGCUUUGCAAGUCGGAUGUGAAAGCCCUCGGCUCAACCGAGGAAGUGCGUUCGAAACUGCAGAGCUUGAGUGCCGGAGAGGGUGGCGGAAUUCCCCAAGUAGAGGUGAAAUUCGUAGAUAUGGGGAGGAACACCGGUGGCGAAGGCGGCCACCUGGACGGUCACUGACGCUGAGACGCGAAAGCGUG
rnacentral:rRNA from 1 species